rnacentral:rRNA from 1 species
UACAGAGGUCCCCAAGCGUUGUUCGGAUUCAUUGGGCGUAAAGGGUGCGUAGGCGGCGCGGUAAGUCGGGUGUGAAAUCUUGGAGCUUAACUCCGAAACUGCAUUCGAUACUGCCGUGCUUGAGGACUGGAGAGGAGACUGGAAUUUACGGUGUAGCGGUGAAAUGCGUAGAUAUCGUAAGGAAGACCAGUGGCGAAGGCGGGUCUCUGGACAGUUCCUGACGCUGAGGCACGAAGGCCAGGGGAGCAAACGGG